rnacentral:rRNA from 1 species
GAUGAACGCUGGCGGCGUGCCUAAUACAUGCAAGUCGAGCGAACGGACGAGAAGCUUGCUUCUCUGAUGUUAGCGGCGGACGGGUGAGUAACACGUGGAUAACCUACCUAUAAGACUGGGAUAACUUCGGGAAACCGGAGCUAAUACCGGAUAAUAUUUUGAACCGCAUGGUUCAAAAGUGAAAGACGGUCUUGCUGUCACUUAUAGAUGGAUCCGCGCUGCAUUAGCUAGUUGGUAAGGUAACGGCUUACCAAGGCAACGAUGCAUAGCCGACCUGAGAGGGUGAUGGGCCACCCGGAAACGGAGACAGGGCCCAGCCCCCGACGGGGGGCGGAGGGGGGGAAUCUUCCGAAAGGGGCGAAACCCGGAGGGACCACCCCCGCGUGAGUAAUAAAGGUUUCCGGAUCGUAAACCUGUUUUAUUGGGGAAAAACAUAUGUGUAAGUAACUGUGCACAUCUUGACGUUACCUAAUAAGAAAGCCACGGCUAACUACGUG